rnacentral:rRNA from 1 species
UACGUAGGGGGCGAGCGUUGUCCGGAAUUAUUGGGCGUAAAGGGUACGUAGGCGGUUUUUUAAGUCAGCAGUUAAAGCGCGGGGCUCAACCCCGUAAAGCUGUUGAAACUGGAGAACUUGAGAGAUGGAGAGGAAAGUGGAAUUCCUAGUGUAGCGGUGAAAUGCGUAGAUAUUAGGAGGAAUACCGGUGGCGAAGGCGACUUUCUGGACAUCAACUGACGCUGAGGUACGAAAGCGUGGGGAGCAAACAGG